GACGAACGCUGGCGGCGUGCUUAACACAUGCAAGUCGAACGUGAUUUUUGUGGAAAUUCUUUCGGGAAUGGAAAUGAAAUGAAAGUGGCGAACGGGUGAGUAACACGUGAGCAACCUACCUUACACAGGGGGAUAGCCGUUGGAAACGACGAUUAAUACCGCAUGAGACCACAGAAUCGCAUGAUAUAGGGGUCAAAGAUUUAUCGGUGUAAGAAGGGCUCGCGUCUGAUUAGCUAGUUGGAAGGGUAAAGGCCUACCAAGGCGACGAUCAGUAGCCGGUCUGAGAGGAUGAACGGCCACAUUGGAACUGAGACACGGUCCAAACUCCUACGGGAGGCAGCAGUGGGGAAUAUUGCACAAUGGGGGGAACCCUGAUGCAGCGACGCCGCGUGAGCGAAGAAGGUUUUCGAAUCGUAAAGCUCUGUCCUAUGAAAAGAUAAUGACGGUAUCAUAGGAGGAAGCCCCGGCUAAAUACGUGCCAGCAGCCGCGGUAAUACGUAUGGGGCGAGCGUUGUCCGGAAUUAUUGGGCGUAAAGGGUACGUAGGCGGUUUUUUAAGUCAGGUGUGAAAGCGUGAGGCUUAACCUCAUUAAGCACUUGAAACUGGAAGACUUGAGUGAAGGAGAGGAAAGUGGAAUUCCUAGUGUAGCGGUGAAAUGCGUAGAUAUUAGGAGGAAUACCGGUGGCGAAGGCGACUUUCUGGACUUUUACUGACGCUCAGGUACGAAAGCGUGGGGAGCAAACAGG
rnacentral:rRNA from 1 species